rnacentral:rRNA from 1 species
GACGAACGCUGGCGGCGUGCUUAACACAUGCAAGUCGAACGGAAAGGCCUUUUCGGAGGUACUCGAGUGGCGAACGGGUGAGUAACACGUGGGUGAUCUGCCCUGCACUCCGGGAUAAGCCUGGGAAACUGGGUCUAAUACCGGAUAGGACCGCACUUUAGUGUGUGUGGUGGAAAGUUUUUUCGGUGUAGGAUGAGCCCGCGGCCUAUCAGCUUGUUGGUGGGGUAAUGGCCUACCAAGGCGGCGACGGGUAGCCGGACUGAGAGGUUGGUCGGCCACAUUGGGACUGAGAUACGGCCCAGACUCCUACGGGAGGCAGCAGUGGGGAAUAUUGCACAAUGGGCGCAAGCCUGAUGCAGCGACGCCGCGUGGGGGAUGACGGCCUUCGGGUUGUAAACUCCCUUCGCCAGGGACGAAGCGUUUUGUGACGGUACCUGGAGAAGAAGCACCGGCUAACUACGUG